rnacentral:snRNA from 1 species
GGAUGUGAGGGCGAUCUGGCUGCGACAUCUGUCACCCCAUUGAUCGCCAGGGUUGAUUCGGCUGAUCUGGCUGGCUAGGCAGGUGUCCCCUUCCUCCCUCGCCCAUCCAUGUGCGUCCCUCCCGAAGCUGCGCGCUCGGUCGAAGAGGACGACCUUCCCCCGCCGAGGAGAGGACCGGUCUUCAGUCAAGGGUAUACGAGUAGCUGCGCUCCCCUGCUAGAACCUCCAAACAAGCUCUCAAAAUCAGAUAUCCUGAUUUGUUAAAUGUGAGUUUAUUUAAAUAUUUAUGAAAAGCAACUGGAUUAUUGGAUGGUCUGU